GGAGACUAACAAAGCCAGUAAUGCACCGGAUGACAAAGGAGUUGGAGAUGGACCAGCAGGCAAACGUGGACCAAUGACCAUCGCAGUGUCUGAAAUAUUGCUGAUUAACAUGGAGAAGCCAGGAGUGGCGUUUCCCUUCAUAAAGGCCUUGGUGAACGUGAAUGACCAUUUCCACAAGCUUCACCCGGACAGUGAGUUUCCAUUCCACAUUGCACUGAUGACUAAGAACCAGGCUCAGGAGCAACACAUAAGAAACCACCUCAACAAGUUAG